UACGUAGGGUGCAAGCGUUGUCCGGAAUUAUUGGGCGUAAAGAGCUCGUAGGCGGUUUGUCGCGUCUGCUGUGAAAACUGGAGGCUCAACCUCCAGCCUGCAGUGGAUACGGGCAAGCUAGAGUGCGGUAGGGGAGAUUGGAAUUCCUGGUGUAGCGGUGGAAUGCGCAGAUAUCAGGAGGAACACCGAUGGCGAAGGCAGAUCUCUGGGCCGUAACUGACGCUGAGGAGCGAAAGCAUGGGGAGCGAACAGG
rnacentral:rRNA from 1 species